GAGCUUGCUCCUUCGACGUUAGCGGCGGACGGGUGAGUAACACGUGGGCAACCUACCUUAUAGUUUGGGAUAACUCCGGGAAACCGGGGCUAAUACCGAAUAAUCUAUUUUACUUCAUGGUGAAAUACUGAAAGACGGUUUCGGCUGUCGCUAUAAGAUGGGCCCGCGGCGCAUUAGCUAGUUGGUGAGGUAACGGCUCACCAAGGCGACGAUGCGUAGCCGACCUGAGAGGGUGAUCGGCCACACUGGGACUGAGACACGGCCCAGACUCCUACGGGAGGCAGCAGUAGGGAAUCUUCCACAAUGGGCGAAAGCCUGAUGGAGCAACGCCGCGUGAGUGAAGAAGGUUUUCGGAUCGUAAAACUCUGUUGUAAGGGAAGAACAAGUACAGUAGUAACUGGCUGUACCUUGACGGUACCUUAUUAGAAAGCCACGGCUAACUACGUGCCAGCAGCCGCGGUAAUACGUAGGUGGCAAGCGUUGUCCGGAAUUAUUGGGCGUAAAGCGCGCGCAGGCGGUCCUUUAAGUCUGAUGUGAAAGCCCACGGCUCAACCGUGGAGGGUCAUUGGAAACUGGGGGACUUGAGUGCAGAAGAGGAAAGUGGAAUUCCAAGUGUAGCGGUGAAAUGCGUAGAGAUUUGGAGGAACACCAGUGGCGAAGGCGACUUUCUGGUCUGUAACUGACGCUGA
rnacentral:rRNA from 1 species